AAUGAACGUUGGCGGCGUGGAUUAGGCAUGCAAGUCGAGCGUACCCAGCAAUGGGGAAGCGGCAAACGGGGUAGUAAGGCGUCGGUACGUGCCCUCGGGACGAGGAUAGCCACGGGAAACUGUGGGUAAUACUCGAUAAUCUCGUGAGAGCAAAGGUGUGACUCCACCUGAGGAGCGGCUGACGUGGUAUUAGGUAGUUGGUAGGGUAAUGGCCUACCAAGCCUGGGAUGCCUAGGGGGUGUGAGAGCAUGGCCCCCACCAUUGGGACUGAGACACUGCCCAGACACCUACGGGUGGCAG
rnacentral:rRNA from 1 species